GAGAGAGAGAGAGAGAGAGAGAUUGAGAGAAUAAGUUUGCAGCAAAUUAGAAGAAAGAGAUGCACUCACUAGACAAACAAAUUAUGACUCCAAACUAGAACCAAAUAGUUCCAUUCUCUUUUAAGAAAAUAGCUCUAUUAAAGUACCAUGGAGUCUCAAACCCUUUCCUUUCUUACUAAUAUUAGAACUUCUAAAUCGGAUAUUUCAUAAUAAAAAUAAAAAAGGAAGCCUAAAAAAAUAAAUUUUCAAGCAAGAAAAAUUCAAGGAAAAUCAUAACACUCCUACCAGAAUUUUGCAAGAAAAAACCCAUAUUUCAAAGUAAGAAAUAAGUCAAAUACUAUUAUUAAAUUCUUUUUCCUUGACAGUUUCACAUUGUGGAAUACAAUUUAACAAAGAGUUGUAUACAUGGAGGAGACAAAAGGCAUAAUUUGAAAGGAAUUAGUGAAAAAAAAUAAGCACCUUUUUUGCUUCCAUGACUCUAAAGCUCUAUUCUUUGCUAGAAGAUUUAAUAACAAUACCUCUUUAAAUUUUAAAAGAAUUAAGUUUGACACGUAGGCUGGCUUUGUCCUGUCCCACCUCACAAGCAUUAACUCAUUAACAGAUCUCCACAUUCCACGUCCAACAUCUUUUGCAGACAGUUCCCUGGCACUUCGCCCAUGCCACAACUCUUUUGCAAUAUACUUGACUUCCUCAAUGUCUACCUGGACUUCCAUGGCUGUCCCAUAUAAUGAUUCCUCAUGCUCAACAAGACGCUGAUGAAGCAUCCGAUAAUGGUCCAAAUCGAAGUUUACCACAGGCUCUGUUUGAACUUGCAAUCCAGCUAGUUGUGUCACAACAUAUGAGGCCAUGACCUGGCCAAAAAUUGCUGGGAUGGUACCCAAGACAGGCAUUAUGCGAACCCUAAAGCCUGGUACUAUCUGAUAAUCAGAAGGAUUAUCUUCUUCUCCACUUGGUCCCUUAAAUGGAAGCAGCUUGGCUUUAGGUUUUUCAAGGGAGAACACAACAGGGAUGCCACCAUCAAUGCCAUAAUCUUUUCUCAAACGGUGUCUUACAGAUCGAGAUAAUGGAUCAUUUGUUGACUCCCUUAAAUCAGCCACACGGAUUCUUGUUGGGUCAGCUCUAGCACCAGCUCCAGUUGCAGAUAAAACCUUUAAACCCCUACGCACACAUGCUGCAAGAAGUGCCACCUUUGUCUCAAUGUUAUCAAUGCAGUCCAAAACAAAGUCCGGGUUGCCUGAGAGAAUUUCUUCUUCAGAUGAUGAAUCAUAUAAUAGUACUUUUGCUUCAAUAUGGCAUUCCGGAAAGAUUGAUGAGAAAUGCUUCUUGAGGCACUCAGCCUUAGGAAUACCAACAUCUGCUCGUGUUGCAACAGCAUGUCGAUUUAAGGAUGAAAGAGAAACCUGGUCAAAGUCCACAAGGAGAAGCCUCCCAAUUCCUGAUCUCAGAAGCAUAGAAGCAGCAUGACUUCCAACUCCUCCAAGACCAAUAAUGACAACAUAGGAUGCAGUCACUUUACAUUGAGACUCAAGGCCAAAGAAUUGAAUGUUUCUGGUCAAUUGUUCAGAAACUAUUUCAUCUGUUAAAAGGUCUGGACCAGACAUCCCACAAUUCCUGUCUCCAGUAACUGUGCAGCUUCCCAAAGACAUCUGAGAUACAAGUCCUUUACCAUUUAAUUCAAUUGGCUUUUUACUGCUUUUGCCCGAGAUGCUUCUUGGAAGAUGCUUGAGAAGAAACAAGGUAGAACCAGCGCCCAAAAGAGCCCCAGCUCCUAACAAUGCCAAGUAUUUUAGUCUUUCCUCCAUUUCACUUCUUUUCCUCUUCUUCGCCUUCGUCUUCUUCUUCUUCUUCUUUUACUUAAAUGAAGAAAUAAAUUUAAUUGAAAAAGAAAAAAGAUCAAAUGGGGAACCUUAAAAACUUGCUUGCCAGACUUGUAACAGAAAACUGCAAAUUCCUAGAUCAUAACAGUUGCUUUCAUAUAUGGCUAGUUUGUCAAGGAGAUCUAUUUGCCAUGUGGAAUGAUUCAAACCGAGGUUCCAUUAAGUCCACAGCUUCAUCAUCUGUGGCACGCCAACUCCUAGCUUUUGAGGUCAAGAGAAUCAGUCUUUCCAUAUACUCUGAUGAAACAGGAUCUGCUCCCUUGGCAUUGUGGUCAACAGAGGGAGUAUCCUCAACAUCCAAUGGCGUAGAACACAGAGCUGACUGUUUAACCGACAUAUCUCGUCUCAGUUCUGCUGCAUUAACAGGACCUUCAACUUGACUGUCUGGUUUUUGAAUGUAUGACUCAUUUUUAAUGCUGCGCGAGGAAGACAUCUGCAUGACAAAUGAAGCAUGUAAAAAUUUACUAAAUGUAUUAAUGGGGUAUGUGCACGUACCUUUGUGAACAUUUGAGAAAUUUUGAGAUAAUAUUUACAGUACAAUCACUGGCUCACUUGUAUAGGUAAGUUUUGCAUUCUCGGAAAACAGAAUUGAUUAAUUCAAUUUAGCAUACAUCUGCAUAACAGGGUAGGCCAAGUAUAUACCUGCGACCACUGGAUUUGAAAAAUACAUGCAACUUGUCUUUUACACACUAAUUGUUUUCAGACAUACCACAUCCAAGGGAAACCCAGAAACUUAGGCAUUUACCAAUGGAGCACAAACUGCUUAUGUCUACCAAGAAUAAAUAGUCAAUGAUAGAAUGUUUUGUAUUGUUAGGAUUGUAAGUGUAUUAUUACUGUAUUAUUUCUCAUUGUACAAUCUAUUAAUUUCAGCUUGUAUUGCCUAUAACACAACCUAAUAACUCUCUUUACGUGCAAUGAGAAUUGACAAAUCAUUCAUAGUCAAAAACCAGGGAAAUAUUAUCAACUAGAAAGCAUCCAAUAGGUUAGUUAUGAUUAUUACAUUACCCGAAAAAAAUUUAUGGGGAUGUUUCUCCUUCUAGACUUAUCUGGUGCAAUAGUUGAGAGGAUUUGUACAACCUCACUCAUGGUUGGGCGAGCAUCAGGAUCUAACAGCAGGCACUCCUUUGCUAGGUAAGCCAUUAUCUGCAUCUCUUCUUCUGGGAAAUUACCUUUCAAACGUGGAUCAGGCAAAUCUGAUAUUACUAGCCUACUUUCCUGCAAACGAGGAGUAGCCUACACAAAGAAGAAGUAUGAAUCACUUCUAUUAUUUCCCAAAACAGUUGCACUUGUAUAAUUGUCUUCAAUAAGAAAAACAAGACCAUGGGAAUUCAAAUCUAAAAUUUCAAGACGAGACAAUUAAAUGGAAGAAGAUGAGAAAUCUUGAACAAUUUCCUUGUCCAUGUAAUGCCAACUUAUUCAUCUGGUAAGGAAUUUAUGAUAUUCAGAGAAGCUUAAUUGCUGUUGAGAUGUUUAGACAGCACUAAUAAAAGUUAAUAUCUCAAACUAGGGGAAUAAAUGCAUGCAGUACAUAGAAGAUGAUUUACUUUACCCAUAAGACAAGGCUUUCUUCUCCUUUGUUGGUUGAUUUAUGGAUGGGUUGUCGACCAGUGAUAAGCUCAAGAAGAACUACACCAAAACUAAAAACAUCUGACAUGAGAGAGGCCCUCCCAACCAUUGCAUACUCUGGUGCAAAAUAGCCAAAAGUGCCCUGCAUUCUUGCGGGAGAACUUGAACUGCUGGGAACACCAUCAGCUUUUAAACGUUUAGCCAUACCAAGAUCAGUAAUCUGCACAUUUGUAGUUUACAUAGACAGUAAAUGUGCAUGAAUUGAGCAAGUAAAUGUGUGACAGCAUCUUACACUUCAAUUUUACCUUAAUUAUUUCAAAUUAUAACUUCAUCAUACACAAUCAGCACAAUUUUCAUCAUUCAAUUUGGAAUCAAUAUUCAUAACAGAUACCACCAAAACAUAAGAUCCUUACUUUGGCUCUCCAGUUUUCAUCCAGGAGGAUAUUUGUGGAUUUGACAUCUCUGUGCAAAAUUCUUGGAGCAGCCGCUUCAUGGAGAUAUUCUAAGCCCCUUGCAGCUCCUAUUGCAAUUGUAACACGAGUUUCCCACUUCAUGCUUUCCCCCAAAACUCCAUCCAAACAAUCCCUUAAGUCACCAUUAGGCAUGUAUUCAAAGACCAGCAACCUCUCAGAAUGUUUCCCUUGGAAUUCUGAGCAGUAUCCAAGCAAGGGUACAACAUGACAGUGAUGAAGUCUUGAUAACACUUCAACCUCUUUUGAAAAGACAGAGUCAGCAUCAGGUCCUCCCUGAGCUUUAAGUCGCUUAAUUGCUACAAUUUUACCAUCUCUAAGCUGGCCACGAUAUACAAAGCUGCUUCCACCAAGUCCUAUAAGAUUGGAAUUGGAGAAGUUAUCUGUUGCAUGAUCCAAGUCAGAGUAUAAAAAUCGGAAUAUGGUGCCAUGUAUAAUCUCUGAAUCGCUCCUACACAAUAAAGAAGCCCUGCGAAAACACCCUGAGAUAGCAUUAAUGGGCGAAUCAAUACUGAAUUUGAUUUCUGAUACUGAAGAUGCCUUAUGACUUAUUAAGUUAGUAGCACUGUUGUAACUUGUAUCUCUGUCUGAAGAGAAUAUUGGCCGCUGGAUAGGGCAUUUAUCUUUUCGAUAGACAUAGCAUGUUAUGGAAGCAAGAAAGGUGAGUGUUGUAAGUAUGACACAUAGUAGCAAAAUGAUCACAACAACUUUUCCAGAGAGGUGAUUUCUUCUAGCUCCAUUUUCUGUAAGAGAUCCAGAAGUGCAGUUGCAGGAUGUAAAACAGGUAGUAUUAAGACUGCCAGAAGCUACUUUAGGAAAUCCAUCAGCAGCACAUACACAUGUCCAUAUACCUCCACUUGGUCCUCCAGCUAUAUUGCAAUCACAGGAUGUAGAGCAGUUAGAUUUAACAUAACUCUGAUUUCCUUGAUGUGGCAAUGAACACGUACAUGUCCAGUUUUUUAAGCCUGAUGUAGUGGAAAGUUCAUCACAAAAGCCUUGCUGAAUCCAGAUAAAACCAAAGAGGCAAGCAAGGGCAAGUUCCACUUGAAGCUUCAUUUAUUCCAACACUUCAUUAGGAUUAGGGGUCUGCCUCCCAAACUUCUCUGAUCUUAAAUCCUCCAAUCUGAGAAACAAUGAAAAAUAGCCCAGUCCAAUACGAACUGACUCUCAGCAACUCACCCUGAAAUUUCUAGCAUUAAUUGAAUGAAAUCUAAACCAAGCAAAACACAGCCAAGAAAGUUCAAAGAAUGGAUAAUUCUAAAAUGGGGCAAAACCAAUGACAAUUUGAUGAUAUUGAGAGCAAACUAAUAAGAAGUCCAAAAGCAAAUCCAGAAACAGACACUUGACACCAUAUAAUAACAGCAGAUAGAGACUAAUGGUGGUUUUAAUAAGACUAAAUACAAAAACAUGAAAUAUGAUAAAAGAAACAAACCCAUCCACCACACCUCUUGAAAGCAACAUAUUUGCAAACACGAAAGAGACCUUUCAACCAUUUUAGAAGUUAAGAAUCUAAACAAAACCCACAAUUUGUUUAUGUUUGUUGAACUGAAAAAAGUGGAAAUUAAAAAAAAAUAAGAUAAAAAUUUUUGAAAUAUCAAAACAGUACAGAGGCUUAACGGUUAAAAAGACUUGGCUUCAAAGCCAUACGUUGCAAAGUAGAAUUUCAACAUUUCUGCGAAUAAAGUGGGACCCACUACUAGUGGGUGUCGGCCGUCCAGAAUUCGACUGUAGAAUUGCUAGUACCGUAAGCGUAGAAACUGGACAAUGACGGCAUUAAUUUAAAAAUAAUCGGAACCGUUGUACAAAUCAACGGCUUAAGAGAAAUUGUAUUUUAACAUGGUGACGUGGAGUUCGUUAGCGGAGAUCGCAGUUCUUUUCUGUAUAUUCAAAAUUUUUAAUUUAAUCAAAUCAUAGAAUCUCAUUCCCAUUGUCGGCAUGCCAUGUCACGACGCCGGAAAUUUCUAUUCUCGAGCCUAGCGCACUGGAUUUUUAUUCAUUUUACCAAAAUCGCAAUCAGAGAUUGCGAAGUCGAAAGAUGAAGAACCAAAGAUCUUUAAAAAAGAGAGAGAAAAAAUAACAAGUUCUAACACCUAGCGCACCCGAAGCUUGCUUCAAGUACCUUUUAUGGCUUUCGCCGAGCAACUGCAGUCCGAUGCAAAACUUGAACGGCGAUGCAGAGGAAAGAAUUAAUCCAUCAAAACUUCAACAAUGUGAUCCAGAGAGAGCGAGAGCAGCUGUGAGUGUGUUUGGGAGCAUAGAGCGAAAAGUGUGGAUUAAGCGGUUGAGAGAGACAAAGAGUGAGGGAAAUAUGUGAUGCACUCAAGACGAGGUGUCGCUCUGCUUCUGCUGCGAGAUGUUGUGUCACGUGGCUGUAGAAUGGGGAAGAUGGGGACAGUUAAGACUAUAGCCGUUGGUUCUUAAUGAUGGUCAAUUAAGAGCCGUUGGAUUCCGUCCGACUGUCAAUUUUCGAGUUAUGUGCUAGUUUCGUU
rnacentral:misc_RNA from 1 species